UGGGAAGGUUAUACAAGCUGUAAGGACAAUAUGGAACAUUACAGGGAAAUAGAAGCACCGCACAGGCUGGGAAGGUUAUACAAGCUGUAAGGACAAUAUGGAACAUUACAGGGAAAUAGAAGCACCGCACAGGCUGGGAAGGUUAUACAAGCUGUAAGGACAAUAUGGAACAUUACAGGGAAAUAGAAGCACCGCACAGGCUGGGAAGGUUAUACAAGCUGUAAGGACAAUAUGGAACAUUACAGGGAAAUAGAAGCACCGCACAGGCUGAGAAGGUUAUACAAGCUGUAAGGACAAUAUGGAACAUUACAGGGAAAUAGAAGCACCGCACAGGCUGGGAAGGUUAUACAAGCUGUAAGGACAAUAUGGAACAUUACAGGGAAAUAGAAGCACGGCACAGGCU